GAUGAACGCUGGCGGCGUGCCUAAUACAUGCAAGUCGAGCGAACAGACGAGGAGCUUGCUCCUCUGACGUUAGCGGCGGACGGGUGAGUAACACGUGGAUAACCUACCUAUAAGACUGGGAUAACUUCGGGAAACCGGAGCUAAUACCGGAUAACAUGUUGAACCGCAUGGUUCAACAGUGAAAGACGGUUUUGCUGUCACUUAUAGAUGGAUCCGCGUCGCAUUAGCUAGUUGGUAAGGUAACGGCUUACCAAGGCAACGAUGCGUAGCCGACCUGAGAGGGUGAUCGGCCACACUGGAACUGAGACACGGUCCAGACUCCUACGGGAGGCAGCAGUAGGGAAUAUUCCGCAAUGGGCGAAAGCCUGACGGAGCAACGCCGCGUGAGUGAAGAAGGUCUUCGGAUCGUAAAACUCUGUUAUUAGGGAAGAACAAAUGUGUAAGUAACUAUGCACGUCUUGACGGUACCUAAUCAGAAAGCCACGGCUAACUACGUG
rnacentral:rRNA from 1 species